CCUGGUGUCACAGAUGCUAUAAUCUCAUGAGGCAGAAUAACAUAUCUUAAAUACUGACACAAAAUAACUUAUUCUAGGAAAUACUACAAAGGAACAGUGCAGAUCAUAUUGAAAUGACAAGUAUCAAGGUAUCUAAAGAAGUCUUUGACUGGUAAUUUGCAGCUUGAGAAAAGUGAAACAAGAAUGGAGAAUCAUUGGCACUCAUUUGUUCUGCUUGUAUGGCCCUGAUGAAGUGUAUCCUGAACAAUCUCUUCUAGGUCACAAGUUCUCUCCUUGGCUGUGGCUAAUUCAAUAUUUAAUUCACACAGUGAGAAUUU
rnacentral:lncRNA from 1 species